rnacentral:rRNA from 1 species
UAGGGAAUCUUCGGCAAUGGACGGAAGUCUGACCGAGCAACGCCGCGUGAGUGAAGAAGGUUUUCGGAUCGUAAAGCUCUGUUGUAAGAGAAGAACGAGUGUGAGAGUGGAAAGUUCACACUGUGACGGUAUCUUACCAGAAAGGGACGGCUAACUACGUGCCAGCAGCCGCGGUAAUACGUAGGUCCCGAGCGUUGUCCGGAUUUAUUGGGCGUAAAGCGAGCGCAGGCGGUUAGAUAAGUCUGAAGUUAAAGGCUGUGGCUUAACCAUAGUAGGCUUUGGAAACUGUUUAACUUGAGUGCAAGAGGGGAGAGUGGAAUUCCAUGUGUAGCGGUGAAAUGCGUAGAUAUAUGGAGGAACACCGGUGGCGAAAGCGGCUCUCUGGCUUGUAACUGACGCUGAGGCUCGAGAGCGUGGGGAGCAAACAGGAUUAGAUACCCUGGUAGUCCACGCUGUAAACGAUGAGUGCUAGGUGUUAGACCCUUUCCGGGGUUUAGUGCCGUAGCUAACGCGUUAAGCACUCCGCCUGGGGAGUACGACCGCAAGGUUG